rnacentral:rRNA from 1 species
GAUGAACGCUAGCGGGAGGCUUAAUACAUGCAAGUCGAGCGGCAAGUUUUGAUAGCAAUAUUGGAACCUAGAGCGGCGCACGGGUGAGUAACGCGUACAUGACCUGCCCUAUACUGGGGGAUAGUCUUGGGAAACUGAGAAUAAUCCCGCAUGUGAUUAGAAUGCUGCAUGGCAAAUUAAUUAAAGCUGAGGCGGUAUAGGAUGGGUGUGCGUCUGAUUAGCUAGUUGGUAGGGUAACGGCCUACCAAGGCGAUGAUCAGUAGGGGGCGUGAGAGCGUGGCCCCCCACACGGGAACUGAGACACGGUCCCGACGCCUACGGGCGGCAGCAGUGAGGAAUAUUGCACAAUGGGGGAAACCCUGAUGCAGCGACGCCGCGUGCGGGAAGAAGGCUUUCGGGUCGUAAACCGCUUUUCUGGGGACGAGCAAGGACGGUACCCCAGGAAUAAGUCCCGGCUAACUACGUG